CUGUGGAGCAACUUUAAUCUGAUUAAAUGUAUUAGGAUAUUAUUAAGGAUUUUAUGGUGGUAUUAUUAGGGGUAUUAUUAGCUGUUGUAGGGUAUUAUUAGCUGUUGUAGGGUAUUAUUAGGGGUAUUAUUAGGGGUUGGGUAUUAUUAGGGGUUGUAGGGUAUUAUUAGGGGUAUUAUUAGCUGUUGUUGGGUAUUAUUAGGGGUAUUAUUAGCUGUUGUUGGGUAUUAUUAGGGGUAUUAUUAGGGGUUGUAGGGUAUUAUUAGGGGUAUUAUUAGGGGUAUUAUUAGGGGUUGUAGGGGUAUUUUAAGGGUAUUAUUGGGGUGUAAUUAUGCAGUAAGGUGGAUCGAUUUAAAAGACAACCCCUGAAAGAAUCCACGUGAUAAUUAUAAAUCGGUACAGGCAACUGAUGUGUAAAUAAUAAUUUAUAUUUGAAACUGCUGUGUAAAUAAUUUAACGUGAUUUCCUCAGAACUCUGACGGUUUAUACUGGUCUGGUUUUAAACGUAUUCAGCAGUCAGGAGUUAAGAGAAGUUCUGCCUCAGAUUGGGAACACAGUUACUGACCCUUACUGAUUGGAGCUGACGAUAAACCAUGUCGUAUCUCAAAUCAUG
ensembl:lncRNA